rnacentral:tRNA from 1 species
GGAGGAUUGGGUGAGUGGUUUAAACCAGCGGUUUACUAAACCGCCGGCUGGUAAAACGGCCCGUGAGUUCGAAUCUCACAUCCUCCG